rnacentral:tRNA from 1 species
AUUAUUUUGGCAGAAUUUAAUGCAAUGAAUUUAGAAUUCAUUUAUAUAUAAUAUUAUUUAUAUAGAUAAUA